UCUUUCUCGCUCGCUUGUUCUUUCUCUCUCAGAUUCUCCCGGCGUGCUGCGCGCUACUCGUGUGCUCCGAAGUUUCAACGUCGCCUGAAAACGUUACUACCUCGAGACACGAGAGAAACACGACGACGAGUUUGAAAGCCGUAUAUCCUGUGUGUCCGUAUUAGAGAAAGAACGCGCGUACAAGGAAAAAAAGAUAAAUAUUCAAAAAGUGGUGAAAUCUUUUGUGCGACCUAGUGGUGUUCGCAAAUUUGUUCAUCCGACGCACCACCAAUUGACGACGAGGACCGCUACUACUACUAUAGUAUAAUACUACUACUUACUGUACAUUACUGACGGAAUACCAACACCAGACAGGAGCGUCAUCGAGGAAACACAGUCUGACGUUGUUUGUUCACGGAAUCGAUAGGAAUUGUUUCUCACUGAAUCCUGUGCCUGCAUACCUUUUCAUUGUACGAUUUUUGUGUGCUCUGUGGGAAAAAGAAGAAGAAGAAGAAGAAAGUUUCUGAGAAGAAAAUCCUA
rnacentral:lncRNA from 1 species